rnacentral:rRNA from 1 species
AGUGCCCUACGGGGCGCAGCAGUGAGGAAUAUUGGUCAAUGGGCGGGAGCCUGAACCAGCCAAGUCGCGUGAGGGAUGACGGUCCUACGGAUUGUAAACCUCUUUUGCCGGGGAGCAGGCGUGCGUUCGUGAACGCGCGUCGAGAGUACCCGGAGAAAAAGCAUCGGCUAACUCCGUGCCAGCAGCCGCGGUAAUACGGAGGAUGCGCGCGUUAUCCGGAUUUAUUGGGUUU